rnacentral:rRNA from 1 species
CCUACGGGUGGCAGCAGUGGGGAAUAUUGGGCAAUGGGGGCAAGCCUGACGCAGCAACGCCGCGUGAAGGAAGAAGGCUUUCGGGUUGUAAACUUCUAUUCUGAGGGACGAAGAAAGUGACGGUACCUCAGGAAUAAGCCACGGCUAACUACGUGCCAGCAGCCGCGUUAAUACGUAGGUGGCAAGCGUGAUCCGGUUUUAUUGGGUGUAAAGGGCGGGUAGGCGGGAAAGCAAGUCUGAUGUGAAAACUCAGGGCUCAACCCUGAGCCUGCAUUUGAAACUGUUUUUCUUGAGUGCUGGAGAGGCAAUCGGAAUUCCGUGUGUAGCGGUGAAAUGCGUAGAUAUACGGAGGAACACCAGUGGCGAAGGCGGAUUGCUGGACAGUAACUGACGCUGAGGCGCGAAAGCGUGGGGAGCAAACAGGAUUAGAUACCCCGGUAGUC